rnacentral:misc_RNA from 1 species
GUAGGUGAACCUGCGGAAGGAUCAUUAACACGUGAUACUCACGUAUUAACAAACGCGAACAUGUUAUUUUGUCCUAAUGUUGGAAGAAACGAGUAAGAGGGAAUGGUGUGAGUCGCAAGGCUCUGUCUCUUAUUCUACGAUCCUCUGAGGUCGACGUUUUUACCAGCAUUAGACGAUGAAUUUUAGUUGUCUAACCCGCACCUUGGUUGGCAACUAGAAUGACCCUAUUAUUAACCCCAUAUUUAUAUUUUACUGAUUUGUAUGUUCAUUUGAAUUCCUAACUUUCGAGUUGGUUGAGUUCGCUUGAAUGUCGUAUAUUUUUAAUACGAAACAACUCUUAGCAACGGAUAUCUUGGUUCUC